GCUUGGCUAGCUCAGUUGGUAGCACAUGGGACUCUUGAUCUCAGGGUUGUGGGAUUGAGCCCCACGCCGGGCG